rnacentral:tRNA from 1 species
CGGCAACUUCGGUGGCAACAUUGCCGCCGCCCGGCUGAAGCUCGGUCAUCCCGCACAGCUGGUGGUGCGGGCCGCUGCUGCCGU